AGAGUUUGAUCCUGGCUCAGGAUGAACGCUGGCGGCGUGCCUAACACAUGCAAGUCGAACGCGCUCCAUUCGGUAGCAAUACUGAUGAAGAGUGAGUGGCGAACGGGUGAGUAACACAUGAGCAACCUGCCCCGAAGACUGGGACAACACCGGGAAACCGGUGCUAAUACCGGAUAUCCCUAUCGGACCGCAUGAUCUGAUAAGGAAAUGGAUUCCGCUUCGGGAGGGGCUCGUGGCCUAUCAGCUAGUUGGUGAGGUAAUAGCUCACCAAGGCAUCGACGGGUAGCUGGUCUGAGAGGACGAUCAGCCACACUGGGACUGAGACACGGCCCAGACUCCUACGGGAGGCAGCAGUGGGGAAUCUUGCGCAAUGGGCGAAAGCCUGACGCAGCAACGCCGCGUGGAGGACGAAUGCUUUCUGAGUUGUAAACUCCUUUCAGCAGGGACGAUUGUGACGGUACCUGCAGAAGAAGCACCGGCCAACUACGUGCCAGCAGCCGCGGUGAUACGUAGGGUGCAAGCGUUGUCCGGAUUUAUUGGGCGUAAAGAGCUCGUAGGCGGUUUGAUAAGUCGGAUGUGAAACCCCCAGGCUUAACCUGGGGCCGCCAUUCGAUACUGUCAUGGCUAGAGUCCGGUAGGGGACCACGGAAUUCCUGGUGUAGCGGUGAAAUGCGCAGAUAUCAGGAGGAACACCAGCGGCGAAGGCGGUGGUCUGGGCCAAUACUGACGCUGAGGAGCGAAAGCGUGGGGAGCGAACAGGAUUAGAUACCCUGGUAGUCCACGCCGUAAACGUUGGGCACUAGGUGUGGGGCUCUAUCGACGGGUUCCGUGCCGUAGCUAACGCAUUAAGUGCCCCGCCUGGGGAGUACGGCCGCAAGGCUAAAACUCAAAGGAAUUGACGGGGGCCC
rnacentral:rRNA from 1 species